rnacentral:rRNA from 1 species
UACGUAGGGUGCGAGCGUUGUCCGGAAUUAUUGGGCGUAAAGAGCUUGUAGGCGGUUUGUCGCGUCUGCCGUGAAAAUCCGGGGCUCAACCCCGGACUUGCGGUGGAUACGGGCAGACUAGAGUGUGGUAGGGGAGACUGGAAUUCCUGGUGUAGCGGUGAAAUGCGCAGAUAUCAGGAAGAACACCCGUGGCGAAGGCGGCUCUCUGGGACGGUACUGACGCUGAGACGCGAAAGCGUGGGGAGCGAACAGG